CCUACGGGCGGCAGCAGUGGGGAAUAUUGCACAAUGGGCGCAAGCCUGAUGCAGCCAUGCCGCGUGUGUGAAGAAGGCCUUCGGGUUGUAAAGCACUUUCAGCGGGGAGGAAGGCGGUGAGGUUAAUAACCUCAUCGAUUGACGUUACCCGCAGAAGAAGCACCGGCUAACUCCGUGCCAGCAGCCGCGGUAAUACGGAGGGUGCAAGCGUUAAUCGGAAUUACUGGGCGUAAAGCGCACGCAGGCGGUCUGUCAAGUCGGAUGUGAAAUCCCCGGGCUCAACCUGGGAACUGCAUUCGAAACUGGCAGGCUAGAGUCUUGUAGAGGGGGGGAGAAUUCCAGGGGUAGCGGUGAAAUGCGUAGAGAUCUGGAGGAAUACCGGUGGCGAAGGCGGCCCCCUGGACAAAGACUGACGCUCAGGUGCGAAAGCGGGGGGAGCAAACAGGAUUAGAUACCCGUGUAGUC
rnacentral:rRNA from 1 species